CGUUGUUUAUAUUUACAUCGCUCUUUACAUUUACCUCGCUGUUUACAAUGGCUAGACAAGGAACUGAAGAAGAAGAGGCGGCUGCACAAUCCUAAAAUCGCAGAGGCAGUCCGUCCGCUACACAACUCUGAGAUUAAGCUCGUUUUAGUGGAGCACUGUCCAUAAGCCCAGAAUUGCGCGAUGAAGGCCUGAAUAAAAAUGACAUUGUUGUUGCCUGCAAGACAUACUACGAGACCGUGCGUGGAAAUUUCCAGUCCAGCCAGCCUGAGCUAGCGAAUGUGGAUGCAGCUAAUAAGACCUCAGCCCGGAGUUGCCAGAGGAG